AGUCUACGUUUGCAAUGCUAUUGGAUUUACAUUAUCUCUCCCCGUUCUCCAUAUAUUUCCACAAGACGAGGGUGCUGGGAUUGUCUUUCCUUCAAUAAAACUUUCUGUGGACACGUCUUGUGAUGAAUGUGUUUGACGAUUUUGAAAGCGUAUUCAGAGAUAUGCAAAUGAAAGCAUAUUUUGCUUUGGUCCCGAGUCCUGUAAAGUGUCCACUACUUCCAUCCCAUCCCGGUGAACAUACCUAACACUAACCCUGAUGUUAAAGAUGUUCCCUGUCUGACCUUAAAUUAAAAAAUAGCUCUGCUCUCAAUAUCAUGCAGUUUUAUUCCUAGUUUUGAGGUGUAGUUUUGGUAAACUGAUUCCAUUUGCACACAAAAGCAGAUAAAUAAAAACUCCAUUGAAAUGAUUAUAGUUUUUUUAUUUUAUUCUUUUUUUCAUUAAUGGCAUCUCUACAGCAAUAGUAAGCCUUUACUGGCUUUACUCUUGGCUACUACCACAUAUACAGACAUACUACCAUAUUUUUUAAAGCAAUCGCACAUAAUUAUUUUCAAUUAAUACAACUAUUUUAAUGACUUGCCAUUUUACUCAAGAUUGUCCCGUAGAAUGGUGACAAAUAAAAUAAAUUGAGUUGUAUGCAUUGUUUGUAUAUGUAUAUGAUGUAUAUGUAAAGCAAACAAUAAUAAUGAAAGUUUGAAUGUAAAAUAACAUUUUGAACAUUACUAGGUUAAUACUAAUAUAUGAAUGUGAUCAAAAAGUCCCCAAAAACACCACUCUUCGCUUCCUUUUUGAUAAUAGCUACAACAAUCAAUCAACAAGUCAGAUUAAAUUAGCUGUCUCUGUUAUAUUAGUACACACUCUUUAAAUAUAUACUAAAGAUAUGUAAUGCAUCAAUACAACAAUCUGUAUACAACAAAACAGAAUAAAAGCCAAACAAAAGCACUGUUAGGUAAAGCAUAACAAGCACAUGGAAACAUCCUUUCUGUUUAUGGCAGACCUUCUACGCCUAAUCUGGGGACGCCUCGUCCUUGGACGAGUGUCCACAGCACUCAGGACAGCAGCAGCAGCUGUGGCAGCAGUACCGUUGAAGUCGACUCAGAAGUCCUGUUGAGCCCCUUCCAGCCUGAGGCUCUUGUUCGUUUACUGUCCCACCCUGUGGCUGUACCUCUCUGUGGGGAUCUGGCCCUGUCUGCAUGGCUCUUUCGUUAGUCCAUCUUCGGAAUCUGCUUCCUUUCAGUUUCUCAAGCUCUCCAAGCAGCUGUGCUCUAAGUUGCUCAAGCUCUCUGUAUUUGUCAGCUAGCAUCUUUCGGUUGCUUGGCUGCUGGUGGAUUCGGUCUUCCUCUUGCGAAUCUAUGCUCGUUGUCUGCGAGGGCUCUUUGUCCUCUCUUUGCAAGUGAGGCCUCUUGACUAUGUCGCGAAGGGUCUGCAGCUUCUGCUCCAGGUUCUUUCUCAUCUUGGUACCUCUUCUCUUCAUGUGGUCGAUCUCCCUCCGUUCCAUUCUUGUCUCUUUCCACAUCAUCCGCAAUUUAUCUUGGUUAGAGACAUGUUCUUUUGUAGAAAUGUUUUCAGCUGUUGUGACGUUCUCUUGGUGGUCAUCGUUAUCAUUGUGUUGUAUGGGAUCCUCAUUUUUUAUUCUUUUAAAGCUCUCGUCGGCAGCACUUUGGGGAAUUUCGGGGCCUUUUUGUUUGAUCGGCUCUUGAGGAAAGUUAGUCUGGGUUUGAACAGAGAUAUGUUCAAUUUUUCCCUUGUUUCUCUUAACAUCCCGCAGAAGUUUUGCGACAACGUCAUAUUGAGCUUUCAAAUCUACCUUAAUUUUGUCAAGAUGCAAAUAAGAAUUCAGCAUAGUUUUCCAUUUAUCAUUACAUUCUUGUUGUUUAAUUUUGAUUUCCUCAUGUUUUCUUACUGUACAUUGUAAUAUAAUUAUCAGCUCUUUGAGUUUUAAGGAUAGUGUAUUCAGGUUCUCUCUUUCUUUUCCGGCUUUCAUAUAAGAUUGAUCUCUCUCCUGUGCCUCUGUAUCUUUCUGGAUUUCAGACCUCAUGGUAUCCAAAUCAAGGUUGUCUUUGUUGAUUUUUUCUUUAACUGUGUCAAGACAUUUGCUUUGCCUGUCUACUGCUUCCUUUUCCAUUUUGAGAUCUUGCUUCUCCAGUAAAAGCUCCUCGUUCCAAUUCUUUUGCAUUUCUUGUUUUUGUGCAAUCACGUCCGAUUUCAUAUUGAUCAGAUCUUCUCUUUGUCUUUUUAUCUGUUUGAAAUGCUUGUCAAUCUUCAAUUUCUGCUGUUCAAUUUCUUUUUUCUGAAUUUCCAAGAUAGUUGCCUUAUUUUGUGCAUCCAGAAUCUUCUGCUCUAUUAAUUGACUCUUCAUUGUAAUGUCUUGAUGUGUCUUUUCAACCAACUCUUUUAUUGCCUCUUUCAUAAUUGUGUUGUGUCUUAUCGUUUGCAUGGCCUCUUCUUCUCUCAUCCUUACUUCCGACAAAUCUCUUUCUAGCAUCGUCCUUUCGUCCAAGGCCUUUCUUCGCGCUUCAUUAAUAUCAAGCUUCUCUUGUUCAAGCUGUGCUGUCCCUUCAAAGAUUCUUUCCACGAUCACUUUAAGCUCCUCCUUCUUAUUCAUGACAUCACUCUUAAAACGUUGAACUUCCUCCUGUUGUUUUAUUAGAUUUUCCUGCCCAAUUUGGAGAUCAUCAGUCAAUCGUUUCAGGUCACUGUCUAGAAGCUCUUGUUGUUUCUGUUUUUGGGCCAUGUGUUGUAUCUCUUUCUGAAGUUCUUGGAUUUUCUUUAGGCCUUCAAGAAGUAAAUGGUCCAUCUUUUCUCUGUCACUGUUCAAAUCGCUCUGUAGACCAUGAACUUUGUCUUGUUUUUCUUGGAGUUCCGCCUUUGCCAUUUCAAGUCUUUCUUUUUCAACUUUCACAAAAGAUUGAUCUCUUUCUAGGAUCUCAGUUUGUUCCCGGAUCUUUUCUUUCUUCUCUUUCCAGUAUCUCUGUUUCUUUCUGGAUUUCGGACCUCAUGAUAUCCAAAUCAAGGUUGUCCUUGUUGAUUGUUUCUUUAACUGUGUCCAAAUAUUUCCUUUGCCUGUCUACUGCUUCCUUUUCCGUAUUGAGAUCUUGUUUCUCUAGUAGCAGCUCCUCAUUCCAAUUCUUUUGCAUUUCUUGUUUUUGUACAAUCAUGUCCGAUUUCAUAUUGAUCAGAUCUUCUCUGUGUCGUUGUAUUUGUUCAAAGUGUGUGUCAAUCUCCAAUUUCUGCUGUUCAAUUUCUUUUUUCUGAAUUUCCAAGAUAGUUGUCAGAUUUUGUGCAUCCAGUUUCUUCUGCUCUAUUAAUUGCCUCUUCAUUGUAAUGUGUUGAUGUGUCUUUUCAACCAGCUCUUUUAUUGCCUCUUUCAUAAUUGUGUUGUGUCUUAUCGUUUGCAUGGCCUCUUCUUCUCUCAUCCUUACUUCCGACAAAUCUCUUUCUAGCAUCGUCCUUUCGUCCACGGCCUUUCUUCGCGCUUCAUGAAUAUCAAGCUUCUCUUGUUCAAUCUGUGCUGUCCCUUCAAAGAUUCUUUCCACGAUCACUUUAAGCUCCUCCUUCUUAUUCAUGACAUCACUCUUAAAACGUUGAACUUCCUCCUGUUGUUUUAUUAGAUUUUCCUGCCCAAUUUGGAGAUCAUCAGUCAAUCGUUUCAGGUCACUGUCGAGAAGCUCUUGUAGUUUCUGUUUUUGGGCCAUGUGUUGUAUCUCUUUAUGAAGUUCUUGGAUUUUCUUUUGGCCUUCAAGAAGUAAAUGGUCCAUCUUUUCUCUGUGACUGUUCAAAUCGCUCUGUAGACCAUGAACUUUGUCUUGCUUUUCUUGGAGUUCCGCCUUUGCCAUUUCAAGUCUUUCUUUUUCUACUCUCACAAAAGAUUGAUCUCUUUCUAGUAUCUCAGUUUGUUCCCGGAUCUUUUCUUUCUCUCUUUCCAGUGCAUCUGUUUCUUUCUGGAUUUCAGACCUCAUGAUAUCCAAAUCAAGGUUGUCUUUGUUGAUUGUUUCUUUAACUGUGUCUAGAUACUUGCUUUGCCUGUCCACUGCUUCCUUUUCCGUAUUGAGAUCUUGUUUCUCCAGUAGCAGCUCCUCGUUCCAAUUCUUUUGCAUUUCUUGUUUUUGUACCAUCAUGUCCGAUUUCAUAUUGAUCAGAUCUUCUCUGUGUCGUUGUAUUUGUUCAAAGUGUGUGUCAAUCUCCAAUUUCUGCCCUUCCAUUCCUUUUUGCUGAAUUUCCAAGAUAGUUGUCUGAUUUUGUGCAUCCAGAAUCUUCUGCUCUAUUAAAUGCAUCUUCAUUGUAAUGUCUUGAUGUGUCUUUUCAACCAACUCUUUUAUUGCCUGUUUCAUAAUUGUGUUGUGUCUUAUCGUUUGCAUGGCCUCUUCUUCUCUCAUCCUUACUUCCGACAAAUCUCUUUCUAGCAUCGUCCUUUCGUCCAAGGCCUUUCUUCGCUCUUCAUGAAUAUCAAGCUUCUCUUGUUCAAGCUGUGCUGUCCCUUCAAAGAUUCUUUCCACGAUCACUUUAAGCUCCUCCUUCUUAUUCAUGACAUCACUCUUAAAACGUUGAACUUCCUCCUGUUGUUUUAUUAGAUUUUCCUGCCCAAUUUGGAGAUCAUCAGUCAAUCGUUUCAGGUCACUGUCUAGAAGCUCUUGUUGUUUCUGUUUUUGGGCCAUGUGUUGUAUCUCUUUAUGAAGUUCUUGGAUUUUCUUUAGGCCUUCAAGAAGUAAAUGGUCCAUCUUUUCUCUGUCACUGUUCAAAUCGCUCUGUAGACCAUGAACUUUGUCUUGUUUUUCUUGGAGUUCCGCCUUUGCCAUUUCAAGUCUUUCUUUUUCAACUUUCACAAAAGAUUGAUCUCUUUCUAGUAUCUCAGUUUGUUCCCGGAUCUUUUCUUUCUCUCUUUCCAGUAUCUCUGUUUCUUUCUGGAUUUCGGACCUCAUGAUAUCCAAAUCAAGGUUGUCUUUGUUGAUUGUUUCUUUAACUGUGUCCAAAUAUUUCCUUUGCCUGUCUACUGCUUCCUUUUCCGUAUUGAGAUCUUGUUUCUCCAGUAGCAGCUCCUCGUUCCAAUUCUUUUGCAUUUCUUGUUUUUGUACCAUCAUGUCCGAUUUCAUAUUGAUCAGAUCUUCUCUGUGUCGUUGUAUUUGUUCAAAGUGUGUGUCAAUCUCCAAUUUCUGCUGUUCAAUUUCUUUUUUCUGAAUUUCCAAGAUAGUUGUCAGAUUUUGUGCAUCCAGAAUCUUCUGCUCUAUUGAUUGCCUCUUCAUUGUAAUGUGUUGAUGUGUCUUUUCAACCAACUCUUUUAUUGCCUCUUUCAUAAUUGUGUUGUGUCUUAUCGUUUGCAUGGCCUCUUCUUCUCUCAUCCUUGCUUCCGACAAAUCUCUUUCCAGCAUCAUCGUUUCGUCCACGGCCUUUCUUCGCGCUUCAUGAAUAUCAAGCUUCUCUUGUUCAAGCUGUGCUGUCCCUUCAAAGAUUCUUUCCACGAUCACUUUAAGCUCCUCCUUCUUAUUCAUGACAUCACUCUUAAAACGUUGAACUUCCUCCUGUUGUUUUAUUAGAUUUUCCUGCCCAAUUUGGAGAUCAUCAGUCAAUCGUUUCAGGUCACUGUCUAGAAGCUCUUGUAGUUUCUGUUUUUGGGCCAUGUGUUGUAUCUCUUUAUGAAGUUCUUGGAUUUUCUUUUGGCCUUCAAGAAGUAAAUGGUCCAUCUUUUCUCUGUGACUGUUCAAAUCGCUCUGUAGACCAUGAACUUUGUCUUGCUUUUCUUGGAGUUCCGCCUUUGCCAUUUCAAGUCUUUCUUUUUCUACUUUCACAAAAGAUUGAUCUCUUUCUAGUAUCUCAGUUUGUUCCCGGAUCUUUUCUUUCUCUCUUUCCAGUGCCUCUGUUUCUUUCUGGAUUUCAGACCUCAUGAUAUCCAAGUCAAGGUUGUCUUUGUUGAUUGUUUCUUUAACUGUGUCUAGAUACUUGCUUUGCCUGUCCACUGCUUCCUUUUCCGUAUUGAGAUCUUGUUUCUCCAGUAGCAGCUCCUCGUUCCAAUUCUUUUGCAUUUCACUUUUUUGUACCAUCAUGUCCGAUUUCAUAUUGAUCAGAUCUUCUCUGUGUCUUUGUAUUUGUUCAAAGUGUGUGUCAAUCUCCAAUUUCUGCUCUUCCAUUUCUUUUUGCUGGAUUUUCAAGUUAGUUGUCUGAUUAUGUGCAUCCAGAAUCUUCUGCUCUAUGAAUUGCAUCUUCAUUGUAAUGUCUUGAUGUGUCUUUUCAACCAACUCUUUUAUUGCCUCUUUCAUAAUUGUGUUGUGUCUUAUCGUUUGCAUGGCCUCUUCUUCUCUCAUCCUUACUUCCGACAAAUCUCUUUCUAGCAUCGUCCUUUCGUCCAAGGCCUUUCUUCGCUCUUCAUGAAUAUCAAGCUUCUCUUGUUCAAGCUGUGCUGUCCCUUCAAAGAUUCUUUCCACGAUCACUUUAAGCUCCUCCUUCUUAUUCAUGACAUCACUCUUAAAACGUUGAACUUCCUCCUGUUGUUUUAUUAGAUUUUCCUGCCCAAUUUGGAGAUCAUCAGUCAAUCGUUUCAGGUCGCUGUCUAGAAGCUCUUGUAGUUUCUGUUUUUGGGCCAUGUGUUGUAUCUCUUUAUGAAGUUCUUGGAUUUUCUUUUGGCCUUCAAGAAGUAAAUGGUCCAUCUUUUCUAUGUGACUGUUCAAAUCGCUCUGUAGACCAUGAACUUUGUCUUGCUUUUCUUGGAGUUCCGCCUUUGCCAUUUCAAGUCUUUCUUUUUCUACUUUCACAAAAGAUUGAUCUCUUUCUAGUAUCUCAGUUUGUUCCCGGAUCUUUUCUUUCUCUCUUUCCAGUGCCUCUGUUUCUUUCUGGAUUUCAGACCUCAUGAUAUCCAAGUCAAGGUUGUCUUUGUUGAUUAUUUCUUUAACUGUGUCCAGAUAUUUGCUUUGCCUGUCUACUGCUUCCUUUUCCGUUUUGAGAUCUUGUUUCUCCAGUAGCAGCUCCUCGUUCCAAUUCUUUUGCAUUUCUUGUUUUUGUACCAUCAUGUCCGAUUUCAUAUUGAUCAGAUCUUCUCUGUGUCUUUGUAUUUGUUCAAAGUGUGUGUCAAUCUCCAAUUUCUGCUCUUCCAUUUCUUUUUGCUGAAUUUCCAAGUUAGUUGUCUGAUUUUGUGCAUCCAGAAUCUUCUGCUCUAUGAAUUGCAUCUUCAUUGUAAUGUCUUGAUGUGUCUUUUCAACCAGCUCUUUUAUUGCCUCUUUCAUAUUUGUGUUGUGUCUUAUCGUUUGCAUGGCCUCUUCUUCUCUCAUCCUUACUUCCGACAAAUCUCUUUCUAGCAUCGUCCUUUCGUCCAAGGCCUUUCUUCGCUCUUCAUGAAUAUCAAGCUUCUCUUGUUCAAGCUGUGCUGUCCCUUCAAAGAUUCUUUCCACGAUCACUUUAAGCUCCUCCUUCUUAUUCAUGACAUCACUCUUAAAACGUUGAACUUCCUCCUGUUGUUUUAUUAGAUUUUCCUGCCCAAUUUGGAGAUCAUCAGUCAAUCGUUUCAGGUCACUGUCUAGAAGCUCUUGUUGUUUCUGUUUUUGGGCCAUGUGUUGUAUCUGUUUAUGAAGUUCUUGGAUUUUCUUUUGGCCUUCUAGAAGUAAAUGAUCCAUCUUUUCUCUGUCACUGUUCAAAUCGCUCUGUAGACCAUGAACUUUGUCUUGCUUUUCUUGGAGUUCCGCCUUUGCCAUUUCAAGUCUUUCUUUUCAACUCUCACAAAAGAUUGAUCUCUUUCUAGUAUCUCAGUUUGUUCCCGGAUCUUUUCUUUCUCUCUUUCCAGUGCCUCUGUUUCUUUCUGGAUUUCAGACCUCAUGAUAUCCAAGUCAAGGUUGUCUUUGUUGAUUGUUUCUUUAACUGUGUCCAGAUAUUUGCUUUGCCUGUCUACUGCUUCCUUUUCCGUAUUGAGAUCUUGUUUCUCCAGUAGCAGCUCCUCGUUCCAAUUCUUUUGCAUUUCUUGUUUUUGUACCAUCAUGUCCGAUUUCAUAUUGAUCAGAUCUUCUCUGUGUCUUUUAUUUGUUCAAAGUGUUGUGUCAAUCUCCAAUUUUUGCUCUUCCAUUUCUUUUUGCUGAAUUCCAAGUUAGUUGUCUGAUUUUGUGCAUCCAGAAUCUUCUGCUCUAUGAAUUGCAUCUUCAUUGUAAUGUCUUGAUGUGUCUUUUCAACCAACUCUUUUAUUGCCUCUUUCAUAUUUGCAUUGUUUCUUAUCGUUUGCAUGGCCUCUUCUUCUCUCAUCCUUACUUCCGACAAAUCUCUUUCUAGCAUCGUCCUUUCAUCCAAGGCCUUUCUUCGCUCUUCAUAAAUAUCAAGCUUCUCUUGUUCAAGCUGUGCUGUCCCUUCAAAGAUUAUUUCCAGGAUCACUUUAAGCUCCUCCUUCUUAUUGAUGACAUCACUCUUACAACGUUGAACUUCCUCCUGUUGUUUUAUUAGAUUUUCCUGCCCAAUUUGGAGAUCAUCAGUCAAUCGUUUCAGGUCACUUUCUAGAAGCUCAUGUUGUUUCUGGGCCAUGUGUUGUAUCUGUUUAUGAAGUUCUUGGAUUUUCUUUUGGCCUUCAAGAAGUAAAUGGUCCAUCUUUUCUCUGUCACUGUUCAAAUCGCUCUGUAGACCAUGAACUUUGUCUUGCUUUUCUUGGAGUUCCGCCUUUGCCAUUUCAAGUCUUUCUUUUUCUACUCUCACAAAAGAUUGAUCUCUUUCUAGUAUCUCAGUUUGUUCCCGGAUCUUUUUUUCUCUCUUUCCAGUGCCUCUGUUUCUUUCUGGAUUUCAGACCUCAUGAUAUCCAAGUCAAGGUUGUCUUUGUUGAUUAUUUCUUUAACUGUGUCCAGAUAUUUGCUUUGCCUGUCUACUGCUUCCUUUUCCGUUUUGAGAUCUUGUUUCUCCAGUAGCAGCUCCUCGUUCCAAUUCUUUUGCAUUUCUUGUUUUUGUACCAUCAUGUCCGAUUUCAUAUUGAUCAGAUCUUCUCUGUGUCUUUUUAUUUGUUCAAAAUGUGUGUCAAUCUCCAAUUUCUUCUCUUCCAUUUCUUUUUGCUGAAUUCCCAAGUUAGUUGUCUGAUUUUGUGCAUCCAGAAUCUUCUGCUCUAUGAAUUGCAUCUUCAUUGUAAUGUCUUGAUGUGUCUUUUCAACCAACUCUUUUAUUGCCUCUUUCAUAUUUGUGUUGUGUCUUAUCGCUUGCAUGGCCUCUUCUUCUCUCAUCCUUACUUCCGACAAAUCUCUUUCUAGCAUCGUCCUUUCGUCCAAGGCCUUUCUUCGCUCUUCAUAAAUAUCAAGCUUCUCUUGUUCAAGCUGUGCUGUCCCUUCAAAGAUUCUUUCCACGAUCACUUUAAGCUCCUCCUUCUUAUUCAUGACAUCACUCUUACAACGUUGAACUUCCUCCUGUUGUUUUAUUAGAUUUUCCUGCCCAAUUUGGAGAUCAUCAGUCAAUCGUUUCAGGUCACUGUCUAGAAGCUCAUGUUGUUUCUGUUUUUGGGCCAUCUGUUGUAUCUGUUUAUGAAGUUCUUGGAUUUUCUUUUGGCCUUCAAGAAGUAAAUGGUCCAUCUUUUCUCUGUCACUGUUCAAAUCGCUCUGUAGACCAUGCACUUUGUCUUGCUUUUCUUGGAGCUCCGCCUUUGCCAUUUCAAGUCUUUCUUUUUCUACUCUCACAAAAGAUUGAUCUCUUUCUAGUAUCUCAGUUUGUUCCCGGAUCUUUUCUUUCUCUCUUUCCAGUGCCUCUGUUUCUUUCUGGAAUUCAGACCUCAUGAUAUCCAUGUCAAGGUUGUCUUUGUUGAUUAUUUCUUUAACUGUGUCCAGAAAUUUACUUUGCCUGUCUACUGCUUCCUUUUCCGUAUUGAGAUCUUGUUUCUCCAGUAGCAGCUCCUCGUUCCAAUUCUUUUGCAUUUCUUGUUUUUGUACCAUCAUGUCCGAUGUCAUAUUGAUCAGAUCUUCUCUGUGUCUUUGUAUUUGUUCAAAGUGUGUGUCAAUCUCCAAUUUUUGCUCUUCCAUUUCUUUUUGCUGGAAUUCCAAGUUAGUUGUCUGAUUUUGUGCAUCCAGAAUCUUCUGCUCUAUGAAUUGCAUCUUCAUUGUAAUGUCUUGAUGUGUCUUUUCAACCAACUCUUUUAUUGCCUCUUUCAUAUUUGUGUUGUUUCUUAUCGUUUGCAUGGCCUCUUCUUCUCUCAUCCUUACUUCCGACAAAUCUCUUUCUAGCAUCGUCCUUUCGUCCAAGGCCUUUCUUCGCUCUUCAUAAAUAUCAAGCUUCUCUUGUUCAAGCUGUGCUGUCCCUUCAAAGAUUCUUUCCACAAUCACUUUAAGCUCCUCCUUCUUAUUCAUGACAUCACUCUUACAACGUUGAACUUCCUCCUGUUGUUUUAUUAGAUUUUCCUGCCCAAUUUGGAGAUCAUCAGUCAAUCGUUUCAGGUCACUGUCUAGAAGCUCAUGUUGUUUCUGUUUUUGGGCCAUCUGUUGUAUCUGUUUAUGAAGUUCUUGGAUUUUCUUUUGGCCUUCAAGAAGUAAAUGGUCCAUCUUUUCUCUGUCACUGUUCAAAUCGCUCUGUAGACCAUGAACUUUAUCUUGCUUUUCUUGGAGUUCCGCCUUUGCCAUUUCAAGUCUUUCUUUUUCUACUCUCACAAAAGAUUGAUCUCUUUCUAGUAUCUCAGUUUGUUCCCAUAUCUUUUCUUUCUCUCUUUCCAGUGUCUCUGUUUCUUUCUGGAUUUCAGACCUCAUGAUAUCCAAGUCAAGGUUGUCUUUGUUGAUUAUUUCUUUAACUGUGUCCAGAUAUUUGCUUUGCCGGUCUACUGCUUCCUUUUCCGUACUGAGAUCUUGUUUCUCCAGUAGCAGCUCCUCGUUCCAAUUCUUUUGCAUUUCUUGUUUUUGUACCAUCAUGUCCGAUUUCAUAUUGAUCAGAUCUUCUCUGUGUCUUUGUAUUUGUUCAAAGUGUGUGUCAAUCUCCAAUUUCUGCUCUUUCAUUCCUUUUUGCUGAAUUUCCAAGUUAGUUGUUUGAUUUUGUGCAUCCAGAAUCUUCUGCUCUAUGAAUUGCAUCUUCAUUGUAAUGUCUUGAUGUGUCUUUUCAACCAACUCUUUUAUUGCCUCUUUCAUAUUUGUGUUGUGUCUUAUCGUUUGCAUGGCCUCUUCUUCUCUCAUCCUUACUUCCGACAAAUCUCUUUCUAGCAUCGUCCUUUCGUCCAAGGCCUUUCUUCGCUCUUCAUAAAUAUCAAGCUUCUCUUGUUCAAGCUGUGCUGUCCCUUCAAAGAUUCUUUCCACGAUCACUUUAAGCUCCUCCUUCUUAUUCAUGACAUCACUCUUAAAACGUUGAACUUCCUCCUGUUGUUUUAUUAGAUUUUCCUGCCCAAUUUGGAGAUCAUCUGUCAAUCGUUUCAGGUCACUGUCUAGAAGCUCUUGUUGUUUCUGUUUUUGGGCCAUGUGUUGUAUCUCUUUAUGAAGUUCUUGGAUUUUCUUUUGGCCUUCAAGAAGUAAAUGGUCCAUCUUUUCUCUGUCACUGUUCAAAUCGCUCUGUAGACCAUGAACUUUGUCUUGCUUUUCUUGGAGUUCCGCCUUUGCCAUUUCAAGUCUUUCUUUUUCUACUCUCACAAAAGAUUGAUCUCUUUCUAGUAUCUCAGUUUGUUCCCGGAUCUUUUCUUUCUCUCUUUCCAGUGCCUCUGUUUCUUUCUGGAUUUCAGACCUCAUGAUAUCCAUGUCAAGGUUGUCUUUGUUGAUUGUUUCUUUAACUGUGUCCAGAUAUUUGCUUGACCUGUCUACUGCUUCCUUUUCCGUAUUGAGAUCUUGUUUCUCCAGUAGCAGCUCCUUGUUCCAAUUCUUUUGCAUUUCUUGUUUUUUUACCAUCAUGUCCGAUUUCAUAUUGAUCAGAUCUUCUCUGUGUCUUUGUAUUUGUUCAAAGUGUGUGUCAAUCUCCAAUUUCUGCUCUUCCAUUUCUUUUUGCUGAAUUUCCAAGUUAGUUGUCUGAUUUUGUGCAUCCAGAAUCUUCUGCUCUAUGAAUUGCAUCUUCAUUGUAAUGUCUUGAUGUGUCUUUUCAACCAACUCUUUUAGUGCCGCUUUCAUAUUUGUGUUGUGUCUUAUCAUUUGCAUGGCCUCUUCUUCUCUCAUCCUUACUUCCGACAAAUCUCUUUCUAGCAUCGUCCUUUCGUCCAAGGCCUUUCUUCGCUCUUCAUGAAUAUCAAGCUUCUCUUGUUCAAGCUGUGCUGUCUCUUCAAAGAUUCUUUCCAUGAUCACUUUAAGCUCCUCCUUCUUAUUCAUGACAUCACUCUUAAAACGUUGAACUUCCUCCUGUUGUUUUAUUACAUUUUCCUGCCCACUUUGGAGAUCAUCAGUCAAUCGUUUCAGGUCACUGUCUAGAAGCUCUUGUUGUUUCUGUUUUUGGGCCAUGUGUUGUAUCUGUUUAUGAAGUUCUUGGAUUUUCUUUUGGCCUUCAAGAAGUAAAUGGUCCAUAUUUUCUCUGUCAUUGUUCAAAUCGCACUGUCGACCAUAAACUUUGUCUUGCUUUUCUUGGAAUUCCGCCUUUGCCAUUUCAAGUCUAUCUUUUUCUACUUUCACAAAAGAUUGAUCUCUAUCUAGGAUCUCAGUUUGUUCCCGGAUCUUUUCUUUCUCUCUUUCCAGUGCCUCUGUUUCUUUCUGGAUUUCUGACCUCAUGAUCUCCAAGUCAAGGUUGUCUUUGUUGAUUGUUUCUUUAACUGUGUCCAGAUAUUUGCUUUGCCUGUCUACUGCUUCCUUUUCCGUAUUGAGAUCUUGUUUCUUCAGUAGCAGCUCCUCGUUCCAAUUCUUUUGCAUUUCUUGUUUUUGUACCAUCAUGUUCGAUUUCAUAUUGAUCAGAUCUUCUCUGUGUCUUUGUAUUUGUUCAAAGUGUGUGUCAAUCUCCAAUUUCUGCUUUUCCAUUUCUUUUUGCUGAAUUUCCAAGUUAGUUGUUCUAUUUUGUGCAUCCAGAAUCUUCUGCUCUAUGAAUUGCAUCUUCAUUGUAAUGUCUUGAUGUGUCUUUUCAACCAAGUCUUUUAUUGAGUCUUUCAUAUUUUGGUUGUGUCUCAUCGUUUGCAUGGCCUCUUCUUCUCUCAUGCUUACUUCCGAUAAAUCUCUUUCUAGCAUCAUCCUUUCGUCCAAGGCCUUUCUUCGCUCUUCAUAAAUAUCAAGCUUCUCUUGUUCAAGCUGUGCUGUCCCUUCAAAGAUUCUUUCCACAAUGACUUUAAGCUCCUCCUUCUUAUUCAUGAAAGCAAUCUUAAAACGUUGAACUUCCUCCUGUUGUUUCAUUAGAUUUUCCUGUCCAAUUUGGAUAUCAUCCGUCAAUUGUUUCAAGUCACUGUCUAGAAGCACUUGUUGUUUCUGUUUUUCGGCCAACUGUUGUAUCACUUUAAGAAGUUCUUGGAUGUUCUUUUGGACUUCAAGAAGUUCAUUUUCCAUCUUUUUUCUGUCACCGUUCAUGUCGCUCAAAGCUCUUUGCUUUUCUAUGAGAAGGUCUGUCCUCAAUCUAUAUUCAAUUUCCUCUGUUUGUAUUGAAAUGUCUUGUCCUAAUGUUAUUUGUUCCUCUCUGGGUCUUUGGAUUGAUUGAAAAUAACUCUCCAUUUUCACUCUAUGGUUAUCAAACUCCUGUUUCUUCAGUUGUGUAAGCAAUUUAAGGUUUUUUAUGUCUGCAUUUGAAUCCCGCAAGAUGUCCAUCUUUGUUUGGUGGUCUACUUGUGUCUUAUUUUUAAGCAUUUGUAGAUUAUCUCUGUGAUAUUGUAUUACGCUUGCUGUUCUUAUUAGCAUAUUGUCUUCCAUUUUGGAUUCAUACAGUCCUUUUCCCAUCCUAUUCCUGUCAUCUGCUAUUGUUUUUUGCUGUUUUAUAAUGUCACUCUUUGUCUUUUUGAGGGUUCCCUUCUCUCUUCUGAUAUUGUCCAUAUCAGCUUCGGCCUCUUGUUUCAUGUAGUUGACAUGUAUUUUUAAAUCUUCCACUUUGUCUCUUUCAAUUUGUAAGGUAUCCCGGCAGUCGUUUAAUAAUUGUUUGUUUCUUUCUAUUUCUUUAUCCUUAAGUUCUUGUUCUUUCUGUUUCAUUAUAAUACCAUUCACAACAUUCUUGUAUUCAGCCUUUCUCUUUUGAAUGUCAAGAGCAUCUUCUUGUAGUCUUUUCCUGUGUUCCUGUAUUUCAUUGAGGGCUCUAUUUAUAAUAGCCUGCUUGUUCGCCAGUUCCACCACUGUCAUUUCAUGUCUCUUUUUUUCCUCUUCCAUUUUUCUUUGGUGACUUGGCAGUAUAACCAUUAACCUGUGUAUAAAGGACUUCAUAAAUUCCCAUUCUUCUUUCUCUUUCUUUGUUUUCUCAUCUAUAUCAUUGGAUUUGAUUUGAAUGAUUUGUGUUUGGGCUAAUCCCAGCACAGUUUUACAAUUGUGUUCAUCUUGUGGAAGCAGUUCGAUGUUCGGUUUCACCUGACUUUGGGGUUCUCCCAAUUUCUCUUGAAUGUAAUCAGCCAAGUCCUCUAUGCCUCCUGCUGUAGGCUCUUGCAUUACCUCUACAUUUCCACUUUGUGGUGCCUGCAAUCUUGGUUCUGGCUUCCCUCCGGGGUUUCCUAUUUGCCCUUGCAGAUCUACCUUCAUAACCUCAGAGUCGUUUAUCUUCUCUUUGCUGCUCACCUCAAUCCUCUGUUCCACCACUUUCCUUUUUAGUGUUUCUUGCUCAAAGGCAUCCGUUUCUUUCUGUACUCCAGACAACGACCACAUCCUUUUAGCCUCUUGCUCUUUUCUAUUGACCUUCCGUAAUGUUUUUUUGUUUUGUUUUCUCUCCACUUCCAGCUCAGACUUAAGCAGUUCCAACUCUCUAAUCUCUCUUUUAGUCCUCUCAAAGUGGUCGUCAAGCUCGCUCCUCUUCUUCUGAAUAUCCUCCCUUGUGUGACUCAAAAUUUGCAUCUCAGUUUGGGCCUGUUGUAUCAUUUUUUCUAAAUCAAACUUUUCAAUCUGUAACUCAGAUUUUAGUUUCUCUAUGUUCAUCUUCUCAGUCUUGUUCUCAGCUGCUAGUGUUUCAAUCUCCUCUCGUUGUUUCUCCAGAUUGAGUUUUAGGGUUUUCAGAUCAUUCAUUUUCAUGUUUCCUCUCAUUUCCAUUUCUCCAAGAUCACUCAUAACUUGGUUAAAUUGAUCAGUGUCUCUUCUUUGUAAUUGUAUCUUGUCAAGCCUCCCAGUCUCUCCUUUACCAUUUCGAUUCUCAGUGUGUUUUCGGACCAAAAUACCAUAGCUUUCAUUGUUUUUCUUUUCGUUCUCAUUUUUCUCCUUUUCCUCAGCCAGCUCCUUCUUUAGACGUUCUAGUUUUAUCUUUAGAACCUCUAACUGAUCCCUUUCUCUUCUGAUCCUCUCCAUCCUAUCAUCCAGUUCUCUCCUUCUCUUUUGCGUAUUUGUUUGGAGGGAUUCCUUUUCUCUUUGAAUUUCGACCAACCGCAUUCCAACUUCCUCUCUUUUUCGUAUUUCCCUCUUAGAUGACCUAUCAUUUUCUUUUCUUUUUGUUACCAACUCUGCCUUCAGUAGCUCAAUCUCCCUUGUCUCUCUCUUGAUGUGUCGCAUUUUAUCGUCAAGUUCGUGGGUUUGUUUUGCAAUACCAUCCCUUGCUUUGUUUAUUUCUGUAUACAGCUUUUGUCUUUCCUUUAUCAGGCUCUCUCUCUCGGACUCAACCUGAUGUUUCAACAUCUCCAAUUCCUGUCUUUCAGUUCUGAGACAAGCCCUUAAUAUUUGAAGGUCCUCCUUUUGUUCGUCCAGAGCAGACUCAGUCUCCAUCUUCUGUUUGGGUUGGCCUUGAAGUUCCGCCAUUUCUUUAAUUUCUCUUUCUCCUUGGUCUAAAUUGGCACUGAACUCAGUUUUCUCAUUUGUUUCUUCUUUGGAUACAAGUUCUAAAAUAUCUUGCUCUUCUUUCUCCAUGUCUCUUUCUUGAAAUUGCUGCCUAUCAUUUACCACUUCUCUUUCCUGUAGUUUAACCUGUGCUAGAUAUGCCUCAUCUCUAUCGAUAUUGGAGUCCAUGUCUACCCUUUGCUGACUGAUUUCUCUAUUGACUUUCUGAAGCUCAACGGUUUUCUGGCAAAUCAUAUCAAUGACACUUUCUAAGCUUUGUUUCUCUGCCUCAAUCUUGCAGUUCAAACCCUUGAGUUGUGUCUGUUUUACUUGGUAUUCCUCUAACUUAGUCUUAAAAUGUGAAACCAUACGUUCAAUUUUAUGUUUUACUUUGGAUAUGUUCUCGAUCUGCUGGUCCACCUGCACCUUCUUCUGAUGUAGUUUCAUUUUUAAAAUGUCCAAUUCAUCCCUCUCUCUGAGAGUUUUCUCUCGUCGCUGGUCAAGUUCUCUCUGCUGUUUCCUAAUCAUCAUUUGAAUCCAUUUCAUGUCAGUCCUCCCUUUGCUCAGAUACAUUUCACUUUGAUCCAUCGCAUCUUUAACUUUGUUUAGGACAUCUCUGAUUUGUUGCAACAGCUGCAGCACUGAUCCCUCAGCGUUCCCGCGGACCUCCGUUGGAGCCAUGUCAAUGCAGCUUUCUUCAGUUUCUUUCAAUGAUAUUUGUUCUAAUGAUUCUUGUAUUCUGUUAAUCUCCCGAAUCAAGGUUUGUAUCCUGGCAUUUCCUAACGCCGGUGGCCCCUCUGAUUCACGUUCUAUCAAAUUUGCUGGUUUUGUUUGGUGUUCAGUUGUUAAAGACGCCACUGGCAUUUCAUAUUCAACAUUCUCUUCUUCAUAACUCUGUCUGUUAACCUGUAAACGUACUCUGUACUGUACUGUCUGUUUGAUCUGCCCGAUUGAUCUAUCACCGUGAUUUCCUACGUCCCUAUUGUCUGACCCAUCAUCAGCCCCUUGCAGAUAAAGGUUGCUUAUAUCCUCAAUCAGUCUUUCCAUCUCUUUGUGGUUUUGUUUUAAGUUGUCCAUAGCCCCUUUCACUAUCUCCUCUUCCUCUCCGAGUUUUGAGACAUAGCUUUCGGUUUCCGUCCUAUCCCUCACAGUCCUUUUUUGUUCCGUUUUAUCCUGAAAUCCAGCUUUUGAGCUGUGUUCAGGUGAAUCCAUAUCCUGCUUAUCCUGUGUAACCACCCUUGAUGGUUGAAUUCCCAGGCUUUCCUUUUCAAUUGUUGAAUACUUACCAAACGUUUGUUCUUCCUCACUUCGUUGACUGACAUCAAGAAAGGUUUGUGUUGCCUUUUCCCGUGCAGUUGGUUGAUCAGGGAGAAUACUUUUUUUUGUUGCCUCCAUGGGGGUGUGAUCAAUCCCUGCACUCGUACUCUGCAUGUCCCCUUUCAUCUCAUCUAUGACGCCCAUGUUAGAACCAGACUCCUUAGUCUUCUGUUCCUCCUUCUCCAGCUGCAUUUUCAUCUUCAUCACCUCCAGGGCAUCCCUUUCCUGAGCAAUCUUCUCCAAUCUUUGGUCAAGCUCACGUCUUUGUUUCUGCGCUCUGUAAUUUGUCCACUUGGUUUGGCUUUCGUCCUGUUGCAUAUUGGUUCUCCCUUGCUUGGGUGUCUGUGUCACCGUCUUUAACACAUCUCUGAUCGCUUGCACUUUAUGAACCAACCUUUGGAUUUUUGCGUUCACUCUGAUCCCUUCACCUGCCCCCGCAUUCUCUGUAUCCGUAGCAAAUUUACUUGCAUCUUCCUUCUUUGACCUCUCUUUCUCAUCCAUGUCUUCUUCUACUUGCGGUACAGUUUCCCUUCUCUUGUCAGCAUCUUGCUGUUUCAUCAUGGUGCGCCUCAUACUUUUCUCCAGGUUACUUUUCUUUGUGUCAAUCUCAGUGUUCAAGACUUCCCUCUCUCGUAUCUGUCUUCUUGUCUUUUCCAACUUUUCAUCAAGCUCCAGCUGCUGCCUUUGAAUGUUCUCCUUCAUCUUUUUCACUUCGUCCAUCUCUGUCUUCACAAACUGCCUAUCUCUUUCUAUGCCAUCUCUCUGGGCCAUUAUUUCAGUUUUCACUCGGUCCUCAUUCAUUUCAUGUAUCGCUGCCGUCAUCCGAUCUCGGGGGGCUACAGUUUGCCUCUCUACAUCAUCUGUAAUAUGUUGUGACCUUGGCCUCAUCUCGGCUGUCAGUUGGUGUUCUGCGGGCCCCGGGGUUCUAGUCUCUGCGGAGACUUCCUGCCCUUCCAAUUCAAGCCAAAGUCUUUCCACUGCUGCCUUCACUCGGUUCAGUUCAUUCUUCAUCUUCUCAUACGGCUCAUUGUCGUCAGGCAGUCUGGCAGUGUGCGAGUGCUCCAUCUUGUUCUUGCGUUUCUCUGUCUCUCUGAUGUUUGUGCUUAUUUGAAGUCGCAUCCGCUUCAUUUGCUUCCUUAGAAAUGCAAUUUCAUACUUUGCCAUCCUGAAGUUGUGUUUUAUUUCAGCAAUAUAUUUUUGCAUUUGUCCUUCCACUUGCUUCGCUUCACCUACUCUUCUCUUGUUUUCCUGAAUGUGACACUGGAUGUCAGCCUGAAUCUUUAUGAAUGCAUCUUGCAGUUGUUUAUUUGUUUUUGUCGGUUCUGUGUGCCUUAUUGGCUUAUCAUGCAUGAUCAGUGCUUUGAAUAUUUCUCGCUCAUUCAUGAACUCAUUUCGCCUGCAGUCUAUAAGUUCUCUUUCUGUUUUGACAUCAGCCCAGACUUUUUCAAUUAGCUCUUUUUCAUUCCUUAUAUCUUCCUUGGUCUUCUGCAGUUUCUGAAUAGCACCGCCUAGCUUAACUUCUAAACUCAUUAUCAAUAAAUUCUGCUGUUGUUUUUCUGCUUUAAGUUGAACAAUUGAUGAUUGUUGGUCUUCAUUUCUUGCCUUCAUCUGGACAAUUUCAGCCUUUUCUGAUUUAGUAUACUCGAAAAGUAUUUCAAUUUCUUUGAUAGCUUGCAGUGUCUCUUGUUUUUGUUUUCUUAGAUAGUACGUCUUGCUUUGCGGGUCAAAGGCGACUACUUUUUCUUCCAAUUGUUCAGGAUUUUCCAAGGAGUUACUCUGCUCGGUUUGGGUCAUCUUGGAGUUUACUUGUCUUUGCUCUUUAAAUGGAAGUAAUACAUGAUCAAUUGCUUUAAGCUUUAGCCUCAUAGUAACUUGUUGUUCCAAUCAUUUUAUUCCCAACAUUACUAUCACACAGGGAUAAUAAAAUGUUUGCAUUGAAAAAAUAUAGACUCAAAGAUGGUAGAACAACAAAUAAUAUUUUGAACCGUAUUUAAAUAUUACAAUUUAGGAUUUAUUUUCUGGCAAUCGGCAUACCACGCACAAAUGUUCAAAAAACGAAUGCAGGGUCAGUUGAUGGCCUUGAAAUAUGCAUCCUAUUCUAUUGUCUUGGCCGUUAAAACACAGAUAUUCCUCGAUUUAUUUUAUAUAAACCAAAAAGAAAACUCACCUGAAAUUCCUACAAGCUCAGGCUCUUUCAGCGCUAGUAUUUGGUAGAAGGCAUCUUUGGCUUCAGAUGUCCCCCUUUCCAUAGCGUGAAACAGCGCCCUCAGCUGAUCUUGCGGGGUAUGAGCUUCGUUGAUAGAAAUCAGGUCCUCCUCGGAUGAUAUCAGCUGCUGUGCAAUGGAAGCCUCAACAAUGGCUUCAGCUGAUUUUACCCCAGCAAGGAGUUUGUCGCUGAUUCCUUGCAGGAAUGUGCCCACUGGAAAACACAUUGUUGGUUUUAUGAAUUAAAAAAUAAUAUAUCCACCAUAUUUAGCUUUUGCUUUUUUAAUAUAGUUUACCGUUGUAUUGAUGUUUCGCCAUGUUUUAAUGGUGAAAUGGAUGUUAAGACCCCUGCAAAACAUAUCAAAGAGGAAACAUUCUAAAUAAUUUAUAAAUAAUUGAACAUAAAUAAUUUCAAUUCAUGAAAAAAAGAAAAAAAUAUAUGUAAAGAAAGAUUUUCUAAAACUCUUUAGGUUCGUGUUCUAUGUAUU
ensembl:lncRNA